rnacentral:rRNA from 2 species
AUCACUAAGCGGAGGAAAAGAAACUAACUAGGAUUCCCCUAGUAAUGGCGAAUGAAGCGGGAAGAGCCCAGCACCGAAUCCCGCAGCCUUGCGCUGCAGGGAACUGUGGUGUUUAGGACGCCUAUUGCUGCAGCGUUCGGGUGCCCAGGUCCUCCUGAUCGGGGCCUCUCCCAGAGUGUGUGUCAGGCCUUUACUGGCACCCGACGCAGUGGCUCUGAACGUCCUUGGAGUCGGGUUGUUUGAGAAUGCAGCCCAAAGCGGGUGGUAAACUCCAUCUAAGGCUAAAUACCGACACGAGUCCGAUAGCGGACAAGUACCGUGAGGGAAAGUUGAAAA